AUCUCCCCCAAGAGUUCAUAUCGACGGGGAGGUUUGGCACCUCGAUGUCGGCUCAUCACAUCCUGGGGCUGUAGCCGGUCCCAAGGGUAUGGCUGUUCGCCAUUUAAAGUGGUACGUGAGCUGGGUUUAAAACGUCGUGAGACAGUUUGGUCCCUAUCUACCGUGGGCGUUGGAAGUUUGAGAGGGGCUGCUCCUAGUACGAGAGGACCGGAGUGGACGCACCUCUGGUGUACCGGUUGUCACGCCAGUGGCAUCGCCGGGUAGCUAUGUGCGGAAGAGAUAACCGCUGAAAGCAUCUAAGCGGGAAACUUGCCUGAAGAUUAGUCUUCCCGGAGGCUUGACCUCCCUUAAGGGUCGUCCAAGACCAGGACGUUGAUAGGUCGGGUGUGGAAGCGCGGUAACGCGUUAAGCUAACCGAUACUAAUUGCCCGUGAGGCUUGAUCCU
rnacentral:rRNA from 1 species